ACAUGCAAGUCGAACGCUUCUUUUUCCACCGGAGCUUGCUCCACCGGAAAAAGAGGAGUGGCGAACGGGUGAGUAACACGUGGGUAACCUGCCCAUCAGAAGGGGAUAACACUUGGAAACAGGUGCUAAUACCGUAUAACAAUCAAAACCGCAUGGUUUUGAUUUGAAAGGCGCUUUCGGGUGUCGCUGAUGGAUGGACCCGCGGUGCAUUAGCUAGUUGGUGAGGUAACGGCUCACCAAGGCCACGAUGCAUAGCCGACCUGAGAGGGUGAUCGGCCACAUUAGGACUGAGACACGGCCCAAACUCCUACGGGAGGCAGCAGUAGGGAAUCUUCGGCAAUGGACGAAAGUCUGACCGAGCAACGCCGCGUGAGUGAAGAAGGUUUUCGGGUCGUAAAACUCUGUUGUUGGAGAAGAACAAGGAUGAGAGUAACUGUUCAUCCCUUGACGGUAUCUAACCGGAAAGCCACGGCUAACUACGUGCCAGCAGCCGCGGUAAUACGUAGGUGGCAAGCGUUGUCCGGAUUUAUUGGGCGUAAAGCGAGCGCAGGCGGUUUCUUAAGUCUGAUGUGAAAGCCCCCGGCUCAACCGGGGAGGGUCAUUGGAAACUGGGAGACUUGAGUGCAGAAGAGGAGAGUGGAAUUCCAUGUGUAGCGGUGAAAUGCGUAGAUAUAUGGAGGAACACCAGUGGCGAAGGCGGCUCUCUGGUCUGUAACUGACGCUGAGGCUCGAAAGCGUGGGGAGCAAACAGG
rnacentral:rRNA from 1 species